UACGUAGGCAGCAAGCGUUGUUCGGAGUUACUGGGCGUAAAGAGUGCGUAGGCGGUCCUGUAAGUUUGGUGUGAAAUCUCCCGGCUCAACUGGGAGGGUGCGCCGAAGACUGCAGGGCUUGAGUAUGGGAGAGGUAAGCGGAAUUCCUGGUGUAGCGGUGAAAUGCGUAGAUAUCAGGAGGAACACCUGUGGUGUAGACAGCUUACUGGACCAUAACUGACGCUGAGGCACGAAAGCGUGGGGAGCAAAUAGG
rnacentral:rRNA from 1 species